rnacentral:rRNA from 2 species
GAAACUUGCCCCGAGAUGAGUUCUCCCUGAGACUUAAAGUCUCCUGAAGGAACGUUGAAGACGACGACGUUGAUAGGCCGGGUGUGUAAGCGCAGCGAUGCGUUGAGCUAACCGGUACUAAUGAACCGUGAGGCUUAACCUUACAACGCCGAAG